CCUACGGGAGGCAGCAGUGGGGAAUCUUGCGCAAUGGGGGCAACCCUGACGCAGCCAUACCGCGUGUGCGAUGAAGGUCUUCGGAUUGUAAAGCACUUUCAGUGGGGAAGACGAUGACGGUACCCACAGAAGAAGUCACGGCUAACUUCGUGCCAGCAGCCGCGGUAAUACGAAGGUGGCGAAUGUUACUCGGAUUCACUGGGCGUAAAGCGUCGGUAGGUGGUUUAUUAAGUCAGAGGUGAAAGCCCCGCGCUCAACGUGGGAAUUGCCUUUGAAACUGGUAGACUUGAAGGUAUGAGAGGAUGGCGGAAUGACUGGUGUAGNGGUAAAAUUCAUAGAUAUCAGUCGGAACACCCAAGGCGAAGGCAGCUAUCUGGCAUAUUCUUGACACUGAGCGACGACAGCUGGGGAGCAAACAGGAUUAGAUACCCUGGUAGUCCAGCCGUAAACGAUGNAUGUCGUCUGUCGGCCGCUACAGGUCGGUGGUCGU
rnacentral:rRNA from 1 species